rnacentral:rRNA from 1 species
ACGGGGUGCAGCAGGCGCGAAAACUCCGCAAUACACGAAAGUGUGACGGGGGAACCCCAAGUGCUCUCGCGCAAGCGAGUGCUUUUGUGAGGUGUAAAUAGCUUUGUGAAUAAGAGCUGGGUAAGACCGGUGCCAGCCGCCGCGGUAACACCGGCAGCUCGAGUGGUAAUCGUUAUUAUUGGGCCUAAAGCGUCCGUAGCCUGUUUGAUAAGUCCUUGGGCAAAUCCUGCCGCUUAACGGUAGGAAUUCUGGGGAUACUGUCAGACUUGAGGCCGAGAGAGGUCGGAGGUACUUCUAGGGUAGCGGUGAAAUGCUAUAAUCCUAGGGGGACCACCAGUGGCGAAAGCGUCCGACCAGAGCGGGCCUGACGGUAAGGGACGAAAGCCAGGGUCGCGAACGGGAUUAGAUACCCCGGUAGUCCUGGCCGUAAACGCUGUGGGCUAGGUGUUGCAUGCUCUACGAGGGCGUGCAGUGCCGAAGAGAAGUUGAUAAGCCUACCGCCUGG